rnacentral:rRNA from 1 species
GAUGAACGCUGGCGGCGUGCCUAAUACAUGCAAGUCGAGCGAACAGAUGAGGAGCUUGCUCCUCUGACGUUAGCGGCGGACGGGUGAGUAACACGUGGAUAACCUACCUAUAAGACUGGGAUAACUUCGGGAAACCGGAGCUAAUACCGGAUAAUAUAUUGAUCCGCAUGGUUCAAUAGUGAAAGACGGUUUUGCUGUCACUUAUAGAUGGAUCCGCGCCGCAUUAGCUAGUUGGUAAGGUAACGGCUUACCAAGGCAACGAUGCGUAGCCGACCUGAGAGGGUGAUCGGCCACACUGGAACUGAGACACGGUCCAGACUCCUACGGGAGGCAGCAGUAGGGAAUCUUCCGCAAUGGGCGAAAGCCUGACGGAGCAACGCCGCGUGAGUGAUGAAGGUCUUCGGAUCGUAAAACUCUGUUAUUAGGGAAGAACAAAUGUGUAAGUAACUAUGCACGUCUUGACGGUACCUAAUCAGAAAGCCACGGCUAACUACGUG